rnacentral:lncRNA from 13 species
UGGUAAAGACAUAGUAAAGACAUCGUAAAGACAUCGUAAAGACAUGGUAAAGACAUAGUAAAGACAUGGUAAAGACAUAGUAAAGGCAUGGUAAAGACAUAGUAAAGACAUAGUAAAGACAUGGUAAAGACAUAGUAAAGGCAUGGUAAAGGCAUGGUAAAGACAUGGUCUAGGCAUGGUAAAGGCAUGGUAAAGACAUGGUCUAGGGUAAAGACAUGGUAUAGACAUAGUAAAGACAUAGUAAAGACAUGGUAUAGACAUAGUAAAGACAUGGUAAAGACAUGGUAAAGACAUGGUAAAGACAUAGUAAAGACAUGGUAAAGACAUGGUAAAGACAUGGUAAAGACAUAGUAAAGACAUGGUAAAGACAUAGUAAAGACAUGGUAAAGACAUAGUAAAGACAUAGUAAAGACAUGGUAAAGACAUAGUAAAGACAUGGUAAAGACAUAGUAAAGACAUAGUAAAGACAUGGUAAAGACAUAGUAAAGACAUGGUAUAGACAUAGUAAAGACAUAGUAAAGACAUAGUAAAGACAUGGUAAAGACAUAGUAAAGACAUAGUAAAGACAUGGUAAAGACAUGGUAAAGACAUGGUAUAGACAUAGUAAAGACAUAGUAAAAACAUGGUAAAGACAUGGUAUAGACAUAGUAAAGACAUAGUAAAUACAUGGUAAAGACAUGGUAAAGACAUGGUAAAGAUGUGGUAAAGGCAUGCAAUAAAAUUGAAAUGAAUUACUUAAAAAUCAUACAAUGUGGUUUUCUGGAUUUUUGUUUUAGAUUCCGUCUCUCACAGUUGAAGUGUACCUAUGAUAAAAAAUUACAGACCUCUACAUGCUUUAUAAGUAGGAAAACCUGACAAAUCGGCAGUGUAUCAAAUACUUGUUCUCCCCACUGUACAUGACCUUUGGUUCAACAAAACAUCCAACAUACAUGGCCUUUGGUUCAACAACACAUCCAACAUACAUGACCUUUGGUUCAACAACACAUCCAACAUACAUGGCCUUUGGUUCAACAACACAUCCAACAUAC